AAAGUCUAUAACGACUCUCGGCAACGGAUAUCUCGGCUCUCGCAUCGAUGAAGAACGUAGCGAAAUGCGAUACUUGGUGUGAAUUGCAGAAUCCCGUGAACCAUCGAGUCUUUGAACGCAAGUUGCGCCCAAAGCCUUUAGGCCGAGGGCACGUCUGCCUGGGUGUCACAA
rnacentral:rRNA from 1 species